GAUGUCAUACCAUAUCCUGACAGUAAGAUUGCCUACAGAUCAGUGGUGGGAUUCAGAUGGUUCGGGCAAGUCCCCAAGUGCCCCAUUUUGGCUCCCAGAUGCAUUGGAUUUCAACUCUUGGAAUUUUGAGAGAGAAAAGUUUGGAGUAGGAUAACACAUCUGGAUAGCCUUAGAUCAGAAAAGUCUACUUGUAUUUACCUCUGUAGUUCAUUGCUUACCCCAGGAGAGACGUCAGUUUGCCCAAACUACGAAUUGAUUCUAAAUCUUUAUGAGCAUAAAGGAACAGAAAGUUUACCAUGAGAAUCCAACAGCCCCAUCCUCCAUAUCAGCAUUUUGACCGAUCCUGAACUCUUAACUUUCUUCAACCUGACCAGUGGAAACAAUUCAUACAUCUUCUGAUGAUGGUUUCCAUUCAUCCAAGUAUUUAAAAGUGGGGAUGACUAGCAGCGGAAGAAGAAGAAAAGAGGAAACCUCCAUCUUUCAAAAGCAUUUAAACUGUUGAAGGUCAUGAAAUGAAUUAUUUUGAUCUUU